UGAGUAACACGUGACUAACCUACCUUUGAGUGGGGAAUAACCUCGGGAAACCGGGGCUAAUACCGCAUAAUAUCCACGGCAGCAAUGCUUUGGAUCAAGCACGCAAGUGGCUUAAAGAGGGGGUCGCGGCUGAUUAGCUAGUUGGUGAGGUAAUGGCUCACCAAGGCUUUGAUCAGUAUCCGGCCUGAGAGGGCGCACGGACACACUGGAACUGAAACACGGUCCAG
rnacentral:rRNA from 1 species